rnacentral:lncRNA from 1 species
ACGUGAAACUGCCAAGCUCGAAGUCACAACAAAAAUAAACUGCUUCAUCUGCAGCCUCGAUGUUAGAGAUAGUUAAUGAGCCAGAUCGCGAACCGGUGAAGCGAGCUGGGACCCCUUCUCCCCGGGUGCUGGAUCCAUACCACAGAAAACGGGGAGGCUGUCCAGGUUUCUGUUGAUACCAGUGAAUAUCAUUCCAGAGAGUACCACCAUUUCUUGAGCAGGAGAGUGUAGCAGUUUGGCCCAGAGACACCGACUGGGAGGCAGGCUGAGUCAAACUGGGUUGUGAAGUGACAAGUUUCAUAGAAAAAAGAGAAAGGAACCAUGACUUUGGUACAUUUCCUAUGCAUUCAAAUACCACAGAAGCUUGAUCUCCCUCUAGCAGACCAAGUUUUGAUGUUGCCCUACAUGAUGUGAGUCUUCCACGCUCUUACCUGAGCAGUAGCUGAGAAGUGACAGUAAAAGCAGGUACCAGGCCAUGGUAAGACUCCUUUAGAGUCUGACUAAAGAUCUAGAUGGGAUCUUCUUCCCCCUCUCUGAAAUCCCCCGGAAAUGCCAAAUGUCUCCUUCGCGCAGAUUGGUUGUAUGCUCAUUGGUUCUGCAAGAGUGUCUUUAUCUACUUGCUUCUCUCCAUGAAAAGCCAAUGAUCAAAGGAGAAAUUUGCAUGAUGAUGUUGAGGGCAGGCCUCACUCUGGCCAAGAUAAAAAUUAAGGGGUCAUAGUGUUACCAAGUACAGUGGUACCUCGGGUUACAGAGGCUUCAGGUUACACACUCCGCUAACCCAGAAAUAGUACCUUGGGUUAAGAACUUUGCUUCAGAAUGAGAACAGAAAUUGCGCGGUGGCAGCAGGAGGCCCCAUUAGCUAAAGCGGUCUUCAGGUUAAGAACAGUUUCAGGUUAAGAACGGACCUCUGGAACAAAUUAAGUUCUUAACCUGAGCUACCACUGUACAGUCAUACCCCAGCUCCUGAACAUCUUGGGAGUCGAAUGUUUUGGCUCCCGAAUGAUUGAAAACCAGAAGUGAGUGUUCCAGUAUUCGAAUGUUAAAUUGGAAGCCAAAUGUUUGAUGGGGCUUCUGCAGCUUCCAAUUGGCUGCAGGAGCUUCCUGCAGCCAAUCAGAAGCCGCCCUUCGAAAGUCAAACGUUUCGGAAGUCAAACGGACUUCCGGAAUGGAUUCUGUUUGACUUCCGAGGUACAACUGUACAUAACCUAAGGGCAGAUGAUGCCCAGGGUUCAUCACAGUAGAAUGAGCAGAAGGUUCCCUAAAUGCACCAGUUAUGAAGUGGAGCAACACCCACUGCCAUAUAAAGACCCUCCCAUCCCAUUUAGUUCAUUAAGUCCACAGCUGAAAUUUUUCAGAACUCUGGGUGGGGGACAUUGUUCAGAUAGAGGACUACAAGCCCAUCUGGAUCAUAUUCUGGAUAAUGAGGGAGGGGGGCUGAGGUGAAAGUGGGUGGAGCAACAUCUAGUGAUGUUACCUUUGUAGUACAGGCUGGUUUCUAUGCUCCCACUCCCCUUUCUUAUCAAUUCAGACAAUCUAGAAGUGUUGUCAGAAUUCAAGGACACAAUCCAGAUGACCAGAAACAUCCAAGGAGACCACAUAGCAGAGGGGGUGAGUGAUGUGGCCUGGAUGGAGGGGUAUGUCUUAAGAUGGGCAUGAUCUGUGGCUAUCUUGAAGGGUCAUCUAGAAAGGCCUGGACAUGGAGAUGCAAAGUCGUGGAGGGAAAGUUCCUUCAUAUGUGGUGGACUUGUAAAAGGGAAAGAGAGUAUUGGGAAAUGAUCCAUAAUGAAUUGAAAAAAAUGUUUCAAAGUACUCCCCACUCCACCCCACCCCCAGAGUCCUCUCUGUUGGGGAUAGUUCAGACUGAAAUUCCCAGGUGUCAAAAAAGGUGAUUUAUGUAUGCCACUAUUGCGACCCGUGUUUUGUUAGCUCCCAAAUGGAAAACAAGCGAAGUCCCAACCAAAGAAGAAUGGCAACUUAAGUUGACAGAAUAUGCACAACUUGCAGACUUACCACAUAGAAACAGAGAACAAGAAGAACAUAUAUUCAGAGAAGAUUGGAAAACAUUUAUUGAAUAUAUGGGAAAUAAUUGUGUACAGCUGAAAACAUUGGCAGCAUUAAGAUAAAUUCAAGUGUUGAUGGAUGUAAUAAUAGAAUACUGAAUGGUUUAAGUUUAUGUAAAAUAUGCAGGGAUUUAUGAUAUGUAAAAUGAACCAUGGAAAGAGAAGAGGGGAAGUCAUUGCUAUUUUAAGGAUGUAAAAAUGAGUACAGUGGUACCUCGGGUUAAGUACUUAAUUGUUUCCGGAGGUCCGUUCUUAACCUGAAACUGUUCUUAACCUGAAGCACCACUUUAGCUAAUGGGGCCUCCUGCUGCUGCCGCGCCUCCGGAGCACAAUUUCUGUUCUCACCCUGAAGCAAAGUGCUUAACCUGAAGCACUAUUUUUGUGUUAGCGGAGUCUGUAACCUGAAGUGUAUGUAACCUGAGGUACCACUGUAUUUUAAAAUGGAAAACAGAAUAUUUAAUAAAAAUUAUAUACAAAAAGGAAAAAAAGACGCCUGAACUUUGCCCCCAGUUGUGGGAACUUACAAAGCUUUCCACAGCUUGAAUCAUGGGUUAACUGGAUGAGAGCGAGGUUAUCGUUUGAUUUCUGUGCCUGAAUGAGUAGGAAAGACGGGGCAGUUGGCGGUGGAAACUUGAGCAGAUAUGUCCUUCCUGAGCAUGUCCUCCUUCAUUUGCUUCACAGCUGCAGGUGGUGCAUGGGCUUUCUGUGACUGGUAAAUUCUAUGAGAUAUGGGAAGUUGGUCCAUCUUACAGGCCAAAAGUAGACAGCCAACAUUCUACAGACAGUGGUACCUCAGGUUAAGUACUUUAUUCAUUCCGGAGGUCCGUUCUUAACCUGAAACUGUUCUUAACCUGAAGCACCACUUUAGCUAAUGGGGCCUCACGCCGCCGCCGUGUGAUUUCUGUUCUCAUCCUGAAGCAAAGUUCUUAACCCGAGGUACUAUUUCUGGGUUAGCGGAGUCUGUAACCUGAAGCGUAUGUAACCUGAGGUACCACUGUACAAGAUUUGAGAAAAUGUGUGUGGGGUGGUGGGGAGGACAAAGCCCCACCCUUUAAUCAGAGCUGAAUUCAGACGUGCAAGUUCUGUCAGGGUCUAUGUCAGGUGCAAAUGUGAAUUCACAUAGCCGCAAGUGAAGUUGAGCAAAGAAUUUCCAGGAGUCCAGUUGCAGCAGCAGCAGCCUCCUUGAGACUUUUUCAGGUCGACCAUUUUGUAUCCGAUAGCUUGUGAAGGUUGGAUUUGCAUGAACUGCAAAACCUCAUUUAAACGGUGGUGUCAGAGACUGGACUGAAGAGGAGGAGGAGUGUCACCUCCCCGCCUUCUCCUGUAGCUGCCUCCUUUUGCCCAAUGAUUUUGCCUGGGUUGAACAUAUCCCUGAAUGUUGAUGAUGCUUAAUUAUAAUAAUAAUAAUAGGGACGCAGGUGUCUCUGUGGGUUAAACCACAGAGCCUAGGACUUGCUGAUCAGAAGGUUGGCGGUUCAAAUCCCCGUGACAGGGUGAGCUCCCGUUGCUCAGUCCCUGCUCCUGCCAACCUAGCAGUUCGAAAGCACGUCAAAGUGCAAGUAGAUAAAUAGGUACUGCUCCGGUGGGAAGGUAAACGGCGUUUCCGUGCGCUGCUCUGGUUCGCCAGAAGCGGCUUAGUCAUGAUGGCCACAUGACCCGGAAGCUGUACGCCGGCUCCCUCGGCCAAUAAAGCGAGAUGAGCGCCGCAACCCCAGAGUCGGACACGACUGAACCUAUUGGUCAGGGGUCCCUUUACCUUUAAUAAUAAUAAUAUGCAAACGUAUUUAAGCAUUCCUUGUUGAAAGAAGCCAACCCACCACCCUCCUUUCUCAGAUUCAGGGACUCACAACAAAGGUGGAAAUUAAGAAAUAAAAUCAGCUCCCGAACUCUGAAAUUUUGUCCAGGUUUCAAUGGAAACUUCUCUCCAUUGCAAACUAUGAUUACGGGGGGGGGGGGGGGAGUGGCUCAUCAGCACUGCUCCUCAUGCAAAUGUCUCCUAAGCGAGUCGUCAGGCAUAAGAACAGCCAGUUGUGUCUAAGACAGCCAGUUGUGUCUGCCUUGGUGUUGAAACCCUUUUAUUUAUGGGAAUCUGCCUUAUAGCAGCUCCAACUAUUUCUUCAUUUAAGGCAAUUCCAGCUUGCCAUUAUUUUCGGGUGAGAUUCAGUCACGUACCAGCAAAAUGAGGCUGCACAAUUCAGGUUGAUUUCAAGGUGUUGUGCAGGAAGCCAGCUCCUCCUCAAGCGAGUAGUCAGGCAUAAGAAAAAACAUUCUGACGCUUCGCUUCACCCCAACAGUUCAGUUUUUGUAACAAUUCUCCGUUUCGUAAUAUAAUUCACUAUUAUUUUAAAAAAACAGAUAGGUGGCCCAACAUUGUCCCCUAGAGGUUAAAGGCAGAACAGCAGACACCACAAAACGCCUGCAUCACAUUUCAAAGCAAAAUACUGAAAUCACAAUCUAGUCAGUCUUAGUUACAGGUAGGUAGCCGUGUUGGUCUGUUGUAGUCGAAACAAAAUAAAAAAAUUCCUCCAGUAGCACCUUAGAGACCAACUGAGUUUCUUACUGGUAUGAGCUUUCGUGUGCAUGAAGAAUCUGAAGAAGUGUGGAUGCUCACAAGAGCUCAUACCAAUAACAAACUCAGUUGGUCUCUAAGGUGCUACUGAAAGGAUUUUUUUUUAUUUUGUUUAGUCAGUCUUAUGCAUUCACAUUCCCCUUGCUUUCCCCACCAGGAAGAAAGGGUGUGUUCAACUUUGGUUGUGUGAAGUUGUGCUUGAAAACAACAUUCACGGGAGGUCCUGCUUUGUAUUGUUGUGGAAGGAUCAUAGUUUAUUGGCAGUGAACAAACACAUGUAUAUUGUAAAUGUGUGAAUCUGUUUAUUCUUCUACAUAGUUCAUACUCAUUUUGAUACAGCUAUGCGGUGUCGCACAUAUCAGUUUAGAUGCUAAUUCCUUUUGGAAACCUGGAAUAUAUAUUUUGUAUAACGUUACACAUAUAACAAUGUAUAUAAUAAUACAUUGGCUCCCCAUCUGUGGGAUGCUCUCCCCAGGCAAGUUUGCCUGGCGCCUUCAUUACACACCUUUUGGCGCCAGGCAGAAACGUUCCUUUUUAACCAGGCCUUUGGUUGAUCUGAUUUACUUCCUAUGCCCUUUUAAAAUGUGGUUUUUUGUGGGGGAGGGUGGUUGCUUUUAUUUUUAUUGUGUAUUUUGUGGUUUUAUAUCUUGAUUUUAUUCUGUGAACCGCCCUGAGACCCCUGGGUAUAGGGCGGUAUAUAAAUUUAAUAAAUAAUAAUAAUAACCUCACAAUGGUAACAAGCUGCUCAAGAGUAGAUCAAACGACUUGAGAGACGAUAGGAUCUUCCACUAUGGUGGCAUUUAAGCGAUGGACGGGAAGCUACAUGUCAGAUAUGCUGAGGUUUGCAAGAUUCCGGCAUUCAGCAGUUAGAUGAACUCCAACGUCCCAUCCAGAAGGUACUCAAAAAUGAUAAAUUUUGCCAGUACAGUGGUACCUCGGGUUAAUAACUUAAUUCGUUCGGGAGGUCCGUUCUUAACCUGAAACUGUUCUUAACCUGAGGUACCACUUUAGCUAAUGGGGCCUCCCACUGCUGCCACGCCGCCACCGUGUGAUUUCUGUUCUUAUCCUGAAGCAAAGUUCUUAACCCGAGGUACUAUUUCUGGGUUAGCAGAGUCUGUAACCUGAAGCGUCUGUAACCCAAGGUACCACUGUAUUAUACACCCUGAUCAUUCAUAGCCUGUUGGCGGUUCCCUAAAUAAAACCAAAAGGACACCAAGACAAUAGAUCAGGCUUCCUCAAACACGGCCCUCCAGAUGUUUUAAGACUACAAUUCCCAUUAUCCCUGACCACUGCUAGCUAGGGAUCGUGGGAGUUGUAGGCCAAAAACAUCUGGAGGGCCGAGUUUGAGGAAGUCUGCAAUAGAUAGUACUGAAAACUAUCAAAGCAGUCAAAACCCAGACAACAGCAGAAAGCCAGUAAAUAGCAUUAAAAACCAACAAGGGGGAUCAUAGGAGCCAACUCCUAAGGGCUGAAAUCCCUUUGCCCUCCCUCCAAUAAAAUGUUUGAUGGGGCUGCCUCUCUCCCCCCCCCCCAGUUGAUGGACAUUGCCAUUCCAAUGGUGCUGUGUGUGUUGUGUCCUGUGAUCAGCGUUGCGGGGCAGGGCUUACUUGUCUCUCCCCCCUAAGAAUAUUUUAUUCAGGUUGACACCCCUGAGGAGAAUACAAUUUAGCCAGGAGGUUGGAAAUUGCAAAUAAACAAUGUUCUCAGAAGUGGAAGUUCUUGGCCUUCCUGAUUUCUGAUUCUUCCGGUCAUUUUAACGAUUUCAGCACGAUCCAACAACUUGAUCUGUCAUUCUUCUCUGGUAUAAGUCAGCUCCUGAGCGAUCCUUGUUUGAAAACUCUAGGGGAAGUGUGAGAGAGAGGUUUUUGUAUCAGUUCCCCAUUAGACUGUACCACCGUGGAACACAUUACUGCCUGUCACCCAGUCAACACAGUAAUAAACCGCCUCGUCUUCAGCCUGGACAUUGGAGAUGGUUAAAUAGUAAGUGUUCCCAGAGGUGGAGGCAGCGAACCGAUCUGGGAUCCCGUCUCCCCGGGUGCUGGUACCAUAGAACACAAAACGAGGAGCCUGUCCACCUUUCUGUUGAAGCCAGCUAUAAGCAUGCAAGCUGCCACUACUUCUAGAGCAGGAGAGUUUGACAGUUUGACCCGGGAGCACAGACUCAGAGGCAGGCUGGAUCAAUGUUGUCUGCGAUGUGACACCUUUGCAAAAAGAAAAAUCAAAUACAAGCACAUGAAUCAUUUCCAGUGUUCUCAAAUAUUAGGAAAGACUAUAGCUUUCUUGCUGGUACAUGCAUCAUUUUCUGCGCCCUCAGAUUUCAGAAAAUUAUUAUCUUCUUGUGAAAAGUAACAGAAGUCAAGUCAAAUAAUACGUUAGGUCUCCACAAACAUACCUGAACAGUAACUGAGACAUGUGACGAGAGCAAGGAUCCAGGCCAUGGUGAAUGUAAAAAGGAGGGUGGAUCACACAAACAGAUCUCUAGUCUGGUGGCACCUCCCUACCACAUUCUUAAAUCACCUGGGAAAUGAGGCACAAGCAAUUAUGCAAAUACCUUGACACCCGUUGUCCUUGCUAGAAAUAAUAUGAGGAAAUAUAGGGAACAACUAGCAGAUGACCACAGAACAGAUUUUGCAUGAAGGGGGUGUUUUCACGGAAGAUUGAAGCUUCUAUGUAUUGCUUAGGUCAUGAUUGGGGAGCUAUAGAACCAGGGGCUGAACAUGACCUCCCAAAAUUAUUAUUAUUAUUAUUAUUAUUAUUAUUAUUAUUAUUACCCACCGAUCUGGCUGGGCUGCCCCAGCCACUCUGGGCAGCUAAUAGUUUACAUAAAGACAUAGUAAAAUGUCAAACAUAAAUUUUCCAUUGCAGGGCUGCCUUCAGAAGUCUUCUGAUAGUUGUGUAGUUCUUUAUCUCUUUGACAUCUGAUGGGAGGGCAUUCCAGAGGAAGAGUGCCACUGUCAAGAAGGCCCUCUGCCUGGUUCCCUGUAACCUCACUUCUCACCGUGAGGGAAGCAGCAGAAGACCCUCGGAGGAAGACCUCAGUGUCCGGGCUGAGCAAUGGAAGGUGGAGAAGCUCCUUCAGAUAUUUCCUUUUGUGGCUCUCAGGACGUGCUCAGAACAUGCCCUCUUCAGGCCACAUGCCUCACUUACAUGGUGCUGUGGCCCCCAAUGAUUUUGCCUGGCUUGAAUAUAUCCCUGAAUGUUGAUGAUGCUUAAUUAUAAUAAUAAUAAUAAUAAUAGGGACGCAGGUGGCUCUGUGGGUUAAACCACAAAGCCUAGGACUUGCUGAUCAGAAGGUCGGCGGUUCAAAUCCCUGCAACGGGGUGAGCUCCCGUUGCUCGGUCCCUGCUCCUGCCAACCUAGCAGUUCAAAGGAACGUCAAAGUGCUUCCGGCAGGAAGGUAAAUGGCGUUUCCGUGCGCUGCUCUGGUUCGCCAGAAGCGGCUUAGUCAUGAUGGCUACAUGACCCGGAAGCUGUACGCUGGUUCCCUUGGCCAAUAAAGCGAGAUGAGCGCUGCAACCGCAGAGUCGGUCACGACUGAACCUAAUGGUCAGGGGUCCCUUUACCUUUAAUAAUAAUAAUAUGCAAACGUAUUUAAGCAUUCCUUGUUGAAAGAAGCCAACCCACCACCCUCCUUUCUCAGAUUCAGGGACUCACAACAAAGGUGGAAAUUAAGAAAUAAAAUCAGCUCCCGAACUCUGAAAUUUUGUCCAGGUUUCAAUGGAAACUUCUCUCCAUUGCAAACUGUGAUUACAGGGGGGGGGGGAGUGGCUCAUCAGCACUGCUCCUCAUGCAAAUGUCUCCUAAGCGAGUCGUCAGGCAUAAGAACAGCCAGUUGUGUCUAAGACAGCCAGUUGUGUCUGCCUUGGUGUUGAAACCUUUUAUUUAUGGGAAUCUGCAUUAUAGCAGCUCCAACUAUUUCUUCAUUUAAGGCAAUUCCAGCUUGCCAUUAUUUUCAGGUGAGAUUCAGUCACGUACCAGCAAAUUGAGGCUGCCCAAUUCAGGUUGAUUUCAAGGUGUUGUGCAGGAAGCCAGCUCCUCCUCAAGCGAGUAGUCAGGCAUAAGAAAAACAUUCUGACGCUUCGCUUCACCCCAACAGUUCAGUUUUUGUAACAAUACUGAAAUCACAAUCCAGUCAGUCUUAGUUACAGGUAGGUAGCCGUGUUGGUCUGUUGUAGUCGAAACAAAAUAAAAAAAUUCCUCCAGUAGCACCUUAGAGACCAACUGAGUUUCUUACUGGUAUGAGCUUUCGUGUGCAUGAAGAAUCUGAAGAAGUGUGGAUGCUCACAAAAGCUCAUACCAAUAACAAACUCAGUUGGUCUCUAAGGUGCUACUGAAAGGAAUUUUUUUUAUUUUGUUUAGUCAGUCUUAUGCAUUCACAUUCCCCUUGCUUUCCCCACCAGGAAGAAAGGGUGUGUUCAACUUUGGUUGUGUGAAGUUGUGCUUGAAAACAACAUUCACGGGAGGUCCUGCUUUGUAUUGUUGUGGAAGGAUCAUAGUUUAUUGGCAGUGAACACACACAUGUAUAUUGUAAAUGUGUGAAUCUGUUUAUUCUUCUACAUAGUUCGUACUCAUUUUGAUACAGCUAUGCGGUGUCGCACAUAUCAGUUUAGAUGCUAAUUCCUUUUGGAAACCUGGAAUAUAUAUUUUGUAUAACGUUACACAUAUAACAAUGUAUAUAAUAAUACAUUGGCUCCCCAUCUGUGGGAUGCUCUCCCCAGGCGAGUUUGCCUGGCGCCUUCAUUACACACCUUUUGGCGCCAGGCAGAAACGUUCCUUUUUAACCAGGCCUUUGGUUGAUCUGAUUUACUUCCUAUGCCCUUUUAAAAUGUGGGGGUUUUUUGUGGGGGAGGUUGGUUGCUUUUAUUUUUAUUGUGUAUUUUGUGGUUUUAUAUCUUGAUUUUAUUCUGUGAACCGCCCUGAGACCCCUGGGUAUAGGGCGGUAUAUAAAUUUAAUAAAUAAUAAUAAUAAUAACCUCACAAUGGUAACAAGCUGCUCAAUAAUAGAUUAAACGACUUGAGAGAUGAUAGGAUUUUCCACUAUGGUGGCAUUUAAGCGAUGGACGGGAAGCUACCUGUCAGAUAUGCUGAGGUUUGCAAGAUUCCGGCAUUCAGCAGUUAGAUGAACUCCAACGUCCCAUCCAGAAGGUGCUCAAAAAUGAUAAAUUUUGCCAGUACAGUGGUACCUCGGGUUAAUAACUUAAUUCGUUCCGGAGGUUCGUUCUUAACCUGAAACUGUUCUUAACCUGAGGUACCACUUUAGCUAAUGGGGCCUCCCACUGCUGCCACGCCGCCACCGUGCGAUUUCUGUUCUUAUCCUGAAGCAAAGUUCUUAACCCGAGGUACUAUUUCUGGGUUAGCGGAGUCUGUAACCUGAUGCGUCUGUAACCCAAGGUUCCACUGUAUUAUACACCCCGAUCAUUCAUGGCCUGUUGGCAGUUCCCUAAAUAAAACCAAAAGGACACCAAGACAAUAGAUCAGGCUUCCUCAAACACGGCCCUCCAGAUGUUUUAAGACUACAAUUCCCAUUAUCCCUGACCACUGCUAGCUAGGGAUCAUGGGAGUCGUAGGCCAAAAACAUCUGGAGGGCCGAGUUUGCGGAAGUCUGCAAUAGAUAGUACUGAAAACUAUCAAAGCAGUCAAAACCCAGACAACAUCAGAAAGCCAGUAAAUAGCAUUAAAAACCAACAAGGGGGAUCAUAGGAGCCAACUCCUAGGGGCUGAAAUCCCUUUGCCCUCCCUCCAAGAAAAUGUUUGAUGGGGCUGCCUCUCCCCCCCCCCCAGUUGUUGGACAUUGCCAUUCAAAUGGUGCUGUGUGGGUCGUGUCCUGUGAUCAGCGUUGCGGGGCAGGGCUUACUUGUCUCUCCCCCCGAAGAAUAUUUUAUUCAGGUUGACCCCCCUGAGGAGAAUACAAUUUAGCCAGGAGGUUGGAAAUUGCAAAUAAACAGUGUUCUCAGAAGUGGAAGUUCUUGGCCUUCCUGAUUUCUGAUUCUUCCGGUCAUUUUAACGAUUUCAGCAUCAUCCAUCAACUUGAUCUGUCAUUCUUCUCUGGUAUAAGCGAGCUCCUGAGCGAUCCUUGUUUGAAAACUCUAGGGGAAGUGUGAGAGAGAGGUUUUUGUAUCAGUUCCCCAUCAGAUUGUACCACCGUGGAAGACGUUACUGCCUGUCACCCAGUCAGCACAGUAAUAAACCGCCUCGUCUUCAGCCUGGACAUUGGAGAUGGUUAAAUAGUAAGUGUUCCCAGAGGUGGAGGCAGCGAACCGAUCAGGGAUCCCGUCUCCCCGGGUGCUGGUACCAUAGAACACGAAACGAGGAGCCUGUCCACCUUUCUGCACAUACCAGCUAUAACCAUACAAGCUGCCACUACUUCUAGAGCAGGAGAGUUUGACAGUUUGACCCGGUAGCACAGAGUCAGAGGCAGGCUGGAUCAAUGUUGUCUGCGAUGUGACACCUUUGCAGAAAGAAAAAUCAAAUAAAAGCACAUGAAUCAUUUCCAGUGUUCUCAAAUAUUAGGAAAGACUAUUGUAGAAGACAAAUAGCUUUCUUGCUGGUACAUGCAUCAUUUUCUGUGCCCUCAGUUUUUGGAAGAUUUUUAUCUUCUUGUGAAAAGUAACAGAAGUCAAGUCACAUAAUACAUUAGGUCUCCACAAACAUACCUGAACAGUAAAUGAGACAUGAGAUGAGAACAAGGAUCCAGGCCAUGGUGAAUGUCAAAAGGAGGGUGGAUCACACAAACAGAUCUCUAGUCUGGUGGCACCUCCCUACCACAUUCUUGAAUCACCUGGGAAAUGAGGCACAAGCAAUUAUGCAAAUACCUUGACACCCGUUGUCCUUGCUAGAAAUAAUAUGAGGAAAUACAGGGAACAAGUAGCAGAUGACCACAGAACAGAUUUUGCAUGAAGGGGGUGUUUUCACAGAAGAUUGAAGCUUCUAUGUAUUGUUUAGGUCAUGAUUGGGGAGCUAUAGAACCAGGAGCUGAACAUGACCUCCCAAAAUAAUAAUAAUAAUAAUAAUAAUAAUAAUAAUUAUUAUUAUUAUUAUUAUUAUUACCCACCCAUCUGGCUGGGCUGCCCCAGCCACUCUGGGCAGCUAACAGUUUACAUAAAGACAUAGUAAAAUGUCAAACAUAAAUUUUCCAUUGCAGGGCGGCCUUCAGAAGUCUUCUGAUAGUUGUGUAGUUCUUUAUCCCUUUGACAUCUGAUGGGAGGGCAUUCCCGAGGCAGGGUGCCACUGUCAAGAAGGCCCUCUGCCUGGUUCCCUGUAACCUCACUUCUCACAGUGAGGGAAGCAGCAGAAGACCCUCGGAGGAAGACCUCAGUGUCCGGGCUGAGCAAUGGAAGGUGGAGAAGCUCCUCCAGAUAUUUCCUUUUGUGGCUCUCAGGACGUGCUCAGAACAUGUCCUCUUCAGGCCACAUGCCUCACUUACAUGGUGCUGUGGCCCCCAAUGAUUCUGCCUGGCUUGAACAUAUCCCUGAAUGUUGAUGAUGCUUAAUAAUAAUAAUAAUAAUAAUAAUAAUAAUAAUAAUAUGCAAACGUAUUUAAGCACUCCUUGUUGAAAGAAGCCAACCCACCACCCUCCUUUCUCAGAUUCAGGGACUCACAACAAAGGUGGAAAUUAAGAAAUAAAAUCAGCUCCCGAACUCUGAAGCUUUGUCCAGGUUGCAAUGGAAACUUCUCUCCAUUGCAAACUAUGAUUACAGGGGGGAGUGGCUCAUCAGCACUGCUCCUCAUGCAAAUGUCUCCUAAGCGAGUCGUCAGGCAUAAGAAAAAACACUCUGACGCUUCGCUUCACCCCAACAGUUCAGUUUUUGUAACAAUUUUCCGUUUUGUAAUAUAAUACACUUUAAAAAAACCAAAACGGGUAUGUGGCCCAACAUUGUCCCCUGGAGGUUAAAGCCAGAACCGUAGACACCACAAAACGCCUGCAUCACAUUUCAAAGCAAAAUACUGAAAUCACAAUCUAGUCAGUCUUAGUUACAGGUAGGUAGCCGUGUUGGUCUGCCAUAGUGAAAACAAAAUAAAAAAAUUCCUUCCAGUAGCACCUUAGAGACCAACUGAGUUUCUUAUUGGUAUGAGCUUUCAUGUGCAUGAAGAAUCUGAAGAAGUGUGGAUUUCCAAGGUAUGACUGUAUUUUUUAUUAUUAUUAUUUUGAGAAAACGCAAGCCGAAAACUCACCCACUAAUCCAAGAUGAAAUGAAUAUUUAAUUAAGGAUUUUCUUCAUAGCUGUAAUUUCAGCAGUGUUCUUCUAAGGUUGAAUUUGAAUUUAUGACAUUCCAAAUGAAGUUUACAUAAUAAAUUCCAGUUUUCAAGGAAUCCCACUCUGCCCGCUUUGGAUCCUUUUUGCAUCUUGCCAAUAUCUGUUAGCUUUCUAGUUUCAAUUUUAUUAAUCCAAGACUUGGAUUUCACAGCAAAUUUUGAUCUCAGUAUUAGGGGAGUAAUGCUAAGUAACAGCUUCUCUCUGUUACACCUUUUCCCACUCUUUGGUUCAGUUUUCCACAUUUUGACACAAGAAGAAGAAGAAGAAGAAGAAGAAGAAGAAGAAGGAGGAGGAGGAGGAGGAGGAGGAGGAGGAGGAGGAGGAGGACACUGACAAACUGGAACGUGUCCAGAGGAGGGCAACCAAAAUGGUCAAAGGCCUGGAAACGAUGCCUUAUGAGGAACCGCUAAGGGAGCUGGGCAUGUUUAGCCUGGAGAAGAGGAGAUUAAGGGGUGAUAUGAUAGCCAUGUUCAAAUAUAUAAAAGGAUGUCACAUAGAGGAGGGAGAAAGGUUGUUUUCUGCUGCUCCAGAGAAGCGGACAGGGAGCAAUGGAUCCAAACUACAAGAAAGAAGAUUCCACCUAAACAUUAGGAAGAACUUCCUGACAGUAAGAGCUGUUCAACAGUGGAAUUUGCUGCCAAGGAGUGUGGUGGAAUCUCCUUCUUUGGAGGUCUUUAAGCAGAGGCUUGACAACCAUAUGUCAGGAGUGCUCUGAUGGUGUUUCCUGCUUGGCAGGGGGUUGGACUCGAUGGCCCUUGUGGUCUCUUCCAACUCUAUGAUUCGAAGAAGAAGAAGAAGAAGAAGAAGAAGAAGAAGGAGAAGGAGAAGGCAAAGUCCUUCUUAAUGCUUUUAGUUCAUUUUCUCCACAGAUAUAUAAUUUUGCCUUAUAUUCAUGUUUCUGUACAACAAUUUUCCCUGGGGUCAAAAGGAAAGCACUUCAGAAGGACAUUUUCCUGCCCUUGCCAUGUAGAAGAUCUAAUAAUAAUAAUAAUAAUAAUAAUAAUAAUAAUAAUAAUUUAUACCCCACCCAUCUAGCUGGGUUUCCCCAGCCACUCUGGGCAGCUCCCAACGGAAUAUUAAAAGCACGAUAAAAAAUCGGACCCAGGACAUUCUGCAUGCAAAACAGGUAUUCUCCCUGAGCUUUGGCCCUUCUAAGUCGGAAGUGGCUUUAUUGCCAACAAGGCCAGUGAAAACAUGAAGAGCAUUGUUUAUUGGGACAUGUGUCAGAUAUUUAAUACAAGGUCAUAUCUCCAAUAGGAUUCUUUAGUCUAAAUAACUUGAUAACUUUUAAUGCACGUUCUUGUCGAAAACUAGACAAAACUCAUUCACGGGCAUCUAUGCUCUUGAAUGAUUCAGGAUUCUACACUCAUAAGAAAGAACAGAGAAGAUUUUUGUCUCAGUUCCCCAUCAGAUUAUUUCACUGUGGAACGUGUCACUGACAAGCUCGAAGUCACAACAAAAAUAAACUGCUUCAUCUGCAGCCUCGAUGUUAGAGAUAGUUAAUGAGCCAGAGUCAGAACCGGUGAAGCGAGCUGGGACUCCUUCUCCCCGGGUGCUGGAUCCAUACCACAGAAAACGGGGAGGCUGUCCAGGUUUCUGUUGAUACCAGUGAAUAUCAGCCCAGAGAGUAGCACCAUUUCUUGAGCAGGAGAGUGUAGCAGUUUGGCCCAGAGACACCGACUGGGAGGCAGGCUGAGUCAAACUGGGUUGUGAAGUGACACCUUUCAUAAAAAAGAGAGAAAGGAACCAUGACUUUGGUACAUUUCCUAUGCAUUCAAAUACCACAGAAGCUUUAUCUCCCUCUAGCAGACCAAGUUUUGAUAUUGCCCUACGUGAUGUGCGUCUUCCACGCUCUUACCUGAGCAGUAGCUGAGAAGUGUCAGGAAAAGCAGGUACCAGGCCAUGGUAAGUCUCCUUUAGAGUCUGACUAAAGAUCUAGAUGGGAUCUUAUUCCCCCUCUCUGAAAUCCCCUGGAAAUGCCAAAUGUCUCCUUCGCGCAGAUUGGUUGUAUGCUCAUUGGUUCUGCAAGAGUGUCUUUAUCUACUUGCUUCUCUCCGUGAAAAGCCAAUGACCAAAGGAGAAAUUUGCAUGAUGAUGUUGAGGGCAGGCCUCACUCUGGCCAAGAUAAAAAUUAAGGGGUCAUAGUAUUACCAAAUACAGUGGUACCUCGGGUUACAGAGGCUUCAGGUUACAGAUGUUGAUUUAAGCAGAGUCUCGUGCCCAGCGGAAGGAUGAGGAAUACGUGCUGCAUACUCUAUAUUGCUUUAUUUACAGUUCAAAGCUGGUAUAUUACAGAAAGACAUCUUGCCUCUGCCGGAGCAGAAAAAGCAUCCUCUCUCCUCGACAGCUCGGAGAGAAUCACACAGUGAAAAACAGGAAACCAGUGUACGUCACAUCCAGUCUCCCUUUCCCGUGAGAAACUCCAACAGUACAGACUGUGGAAUGUAAACACCUGUCUCGUGACAAGCAGAGCUGCGCAGUGAAGGAAAGCAGAAACCAACAUCCUCCCCCCUUUCUGUGAACAUCACUGGGCAGCGUGUUUGUACAAUAUCAGUACAAACCCAACUUCUGCACAUAGGUACAGUGUUGAUCCCUUGAUACAAUCUUGGACAAUACAUCAGCAGGAAUUUCAUUACCUGGCAUAUAGGACACCGUUACGAGUCCCUUCUGAAUACAUUCCCUAGCAUGCUGCAACUUUAAUUGCAAGUGCUUUGUGCUUUGCUUACAACCUUCAGACUUCAGCAAAGCCAAACAUGCUUUGUUGUCCUGGUAAACCUGGAUUGGACAUUUGACAGGAAUUUUCAUAUCUUUGCACAAUUGUACUAACCAUUCACAAUCCUUAAGUGAAUAAGACAGUGCAUUCAGUUCGGCUUCACAAGUACUUAAGCUAACUGUUGUUUGCUUCUUGCAUGACCAAUCAAACAGACUCUGAUUGUACAUGUAGCAAACUCCAGACGUACUUUUCCUGUCUGUAGCGUCACUUCCAAAACUUGCAUCUGCAAAUAUCUCAAGACCACCAGACUUCUGAUUGUUAAAUCUCAGUCUGUAAUGCAUAGUGCCUUUCAAAUACCGCGCUAUGCGUUUCAGAGCUUUCCAGUGCUUGACACUAGGAUUGUUGACUUGUCUGCUUAGCAAAUUACAGCUAACAGCAAUGUCUGGUCUUGAACAUCUGGCAAUGAAGUUUAGCUUGCCUAGCACACUCCUGUACAGUGUAGUGUCAGAAAAUGCUUCUUCAGUGUCAUCUACCUGAUAACCUGUUGUCAUCGGUGUGUCUACAGGGUUAGCAUCCAUCAGAUUUAGUUUGCUUAACACAUCAGCAAUUUUCCGUGACUGGUGUACUAGAAUGUUACCAUCUUGAUCUCUCUCUAUUUCCAGAGAUAGGUAGUUGUUUACCUCACCAAGAUCUUUCAUGUCAAAGUGCUCUUUCAGUUGAGCUAGGGCGCUAUUGUACAUUGCGACAUCUUUCCAAAAGAAUAAUAAAUCAUCAACAUAAAACAAACAGUACAGUUUCUUUUGCCCCUCCUCUUUGACAAAUACACAUGGAUCAGCUUUCCCUUGCUGAAAACCUAGAGAAAACAAUACUUCAGUGAGUUUUGUGUGCCAACACCGUGCACUUUGUUUGAGACCAUAAAGGGAUUUCUUCAGAGCACAAACAAAUCCCUGUUUUACCUGUACGCCAUCAGGUGGAAGCAUAUAAAGUGAUUCAUCUAGAGAUCCGUACAGAAAAGCUGUAUUAAUAUCAUGGUGACUAAUGUGUAGAUUUUCCUCUGCAGCUAGCUUGAGCAUAAGCCUAAUGCUUUCAUAUCUCACUGUGGGUGAAUAGGUCUCGUGAUAGUCUUCACCUGGUACCUGUGCAAAACCUCUGGCUACCAAUCUGGCUUUGUGUCUGACUAUCUUGCCAUUUUGAUCUGUCUUCGCUUUGAAGACCCAUUUGCUUCAAGCAGUUUCAUUCCUGGAACUACUGGAACUAGCUCCCAUGUUUUGUUCCUUUCUAAGGAAUCAAGCUCAGCCUUCAUGGCAUUUAACCAUGGCUCAGCUUCCUUUGAAUCCAAACCCUGGAUUUCUUGGAAACUUGAAGGUUCAAAUACCUUCUUGGAGCUUUUAACAGCUGUUACUGCUAUCGUAGCAAACUCAUCAGCAAAUCUCUUUGGAGGUUUGCCUUUUGUGGCUCUCUGUGACCUACGAAUUAGCCUUAAGUCUUCAACACUCUCCUCUUCCUUCUUAGGAGAAAACCGACCUAUUGUGAACAAUGGUUCCUCCAAUUCUUGAUCAGAGCUUUCAGAGGGUCGCAUAGAGGCUUUCGCACUCUCGAAAUCCUCUGAAUCACCCGAUUCAGUUUCAGAUUCAGACUCAGAACCUUCAUCAGUGGGUGUGGGCUGUUGUGGUUGCUUUUGACUAUCCUCAGUCUCAUCACCGUCAUCAGGAUAACAUUGGAAAAUUCCCACAUUCUCCCCCACUUUGCAUUGUACUCAACACUUCUCGUGAGCUUAAUUGUCUUAGAGUCAGUCAUCAUUAUUCUGUAAGACCCUUUCUGAUAACCUAGAAAGAUACCAUGCAAUCCACGCUUGUCUAACUUGGAGUUUUGUGGUGAGCGAACCCACAUGUCAGAACCAAAAAUCUUCAUGUGUUUGAUGUAUGGCUUCUUGCCAAACAUCUUCUCAUAGAGGUACAACCAAUCGCUGAAGAUAACCUGCGAUUGUAACUGUAAACAAAACACGAGAGAGAUUCGGCCCAAUAACUCUCUGGAAGAUUGGCAUCAUGCAGCAAGGUUUUUAACCCUUGAAGCAAUGUCUGAUUUGCCCGUUCCGCAAGUCCAUUCUGCCAUGGCGAGCGAGGACUAGACAAAUCGUGUUGAAUUCCUUUCUCAGUCAGAAAAGCUUCAAACUGCUGAGAAGUGAAUUCCCCAACGAUCACUGAAAAGAGUCUUUAUCUUCUUACCAUGCACAUUUUCCAACCAAGCACAGAAUUCCUUGAACCUAGGAAAAGCCUCCGAUUUCUGCUUGAGAUUGUACACAAAAAUAUAUCUAGAAAAUGCAUCAAUGAGAACCAUGAAGUAUCUAUUUCCACCCAAAGAGGGCGCUAGUGGUCCAACCAAAUCAGCAUGAACAACCUGGUAUGGUUCUGUAGCUUUCCUACUAGACACCUUACCUUUAGCAGCCAUUUUCACCUUGUUUGCUGCGCAUGCUUUGCACUUCAUGUGGUACCUGCAGGGUUUAAUAGUCAUACCUUCAACCAAGGCAGGCAUUUUAGAUACUGCCUCAAAAUGCAAAUGACCAAAUUUUCGAUGAAAAUCGUGAAUACAUUCUGCAUGCAAACUUUUGUUAGAACCUGCAAUGCAACAAGUGUCAUCCUGCACCACAUCAUCAUAAUACAAAACAAACAAACGAUCAACAUAUUCUGCAUGCAAUACAUAAUCAUUUUUCUUUGUGAUGAUGCACUUCUUGUUCUUGAAGGAAACGUCAAUGUUCCGCUCAUUCAGCUGUCCAACGCUGAGCAGAUUAUGUUUGGCGUCUGGCACGUAAAGCACAUUCUGUAUCGAUAAGUCCAAACUGUGAAGAACAACAGUUCCGUAGCCUUUACUGGGAAUAGUGUGGUCAUCCGCCUGGUGAAUCGCACCUUCCUGCGGUGUAAAAGACACAAACAGUCUCUUAUCGUUGCACAUGUGGUGGGUGGCCGCUGAAUCAACAACGAAGAAAGAUCUAGACGUCUUCUGGACCUCUGCAACCUUUGGAGUGAAGCGUGAAACCAUAGCCUUGUGCUGCGUUGUCCUAGACACCGGACCUUUGCCUUUGCCUCGGCCUUUUCCGCGCGAUGAGCUUUCGCUGCGCUGCUCUGUCUUGGCCCUGGGAUAUCUGCAUUCCCUCUUCAUAUGGCCUAGACGUCCACACGAGUAGCAUUUCACUGCCUUCAAAGCUUUGGCGCCAUCUGGUGGUUCCACUGCACUAUGGGAUGACGUCUGUGAAGACUCCCCCUUGCCCAUGCAGCUAGCACCCGGCGAUCUGCUUCAUUUAAAAUCACGGCAGUAACAAAGUCCACUGUCAGCUGAGCAGUUGGUUGCACAGCAAUCUGGGUUGCAACAGACUCCCAACCUGAACCCAAAGAUUGUAGUAUCAUGAAAGAAUACACAGCCUCUGGAAAGUUGAGUCCUCUCUGUUGCAGCUCAUGUCUCAGAUUUUGCAUCUCCAUCAGAUGUAAACGCACAUCUCCACCUUCAGCAAGAGCCAUAUUGUGCAGCUUGUUAAAGUAAAACAUAGUGGAUCCAGCUUCUGUCCUUAAGUGAGCCUCUCUCAAAGCGUCCCAAAUUUCUCUGGCUGAGGUCUUAUCACGCAAUAGACAGAGCUCUUCUGGGGAUACUAUCAAUGUAAGAGUUCCCCUUGCUUUGGAAUCCUUAGCUUCCCAUGCAUCUGUAACUGGAACUGGGGGGGUUUCUGUAAUCACCUCAAACAAACCCUCUUUCCGCAGAAUUGCCUCUGCAUACUGAACCCAGUCGCUGUAAUUUUUCUUGUUGAGCUUAGGAAUCCCACAAGCAUCCUGAAGGGCCAUCAUGACUCUGGCAUUAGCCUUCAGCGUCAUAUAUAUGCUGCUUUAAAUCUUGCUGCGUCACUGCUGCAGCUGCUUUAUUACAAAGCGCACUUAAAAGUUACUUUCGAUUUCCCCAGCAUAGUGACUUGUGCCUGGGAGCCUUUUGCCUAUUCCCGGCAAAACCGGCUUUAAAAGUUCAAAGUCCAGCCAUAAAGCCAUUAACUUGAAGCUGGCAGGCUGCCCGGAGCAGUAGCACAUACCUCAUCAAUCACUUCUACGCGCAGAGCAGAUUCCGUUCCGAUCUGUUCCUCUGCAUUCCGAUCCUUUGCCGGCACUCCGAUUCGACUUCUGGAGCCCAUAACCACGUGUUGAUUUAAGCAGAGUCUCGUGGCCAGCGGAAGGAUGAGGAAUACGUGCUGCAUACUCUAUAUUGCUUUAUUUACAGUUCAAAGCUGGUAUAUUACAGAAAGACAUCUUGCCUCUGCCGGAGCAGAAAAAUGCAUCCUCUCUCCUCGACAGCUCGGAGAGAAUCACACAGUGAAAAACAGGAAACCAGUGUACGUCACAUCCAGUCUCCCUUUCCCGUGAGAAACUCCAACAGUACAGACUGUGGAAUGUAAACACCUGUCUCGUGACAAGCAGAGCUGCACAGUGAAGGAAAGCAGAAACCAACAACAGACACUUCAGGUUACAGACUCCGCUAACCCAGAAAUAGUACCUUGGGUUAAGAACUUUGCUUCAGAAUGAGAACAGAAAUUGCGCGGUGGCAGCAGGAGGCCCCAUUAGCUAAAGCGGUCUUCAGGUUAAGAACAGUUUCAGGUUAAGAACGGACCUCUGGAACAUAUUAAGUUCUUAACCUGAGCUACCACUGUACAGUCAUACCCCAGCUCCUGAACAUCUUGGGAGUCGAAUGUUUUGGCUCCCGAAUGAUUGAAAACCAGAAGUGAGUGUUCCUGUAUUCGAACGUUAAAUUGGAAGCCAAAUGUUUAAUGGGGCUUCUGCAGCUUCCCAUUGGCUGCAGGAACUUCCUGCAGCCAAUCAGAAGCUGCCCUUCGAGAGUCAAACGUUUCGGAAGUCAAACGGACUUCCGGAAUGGAUUCUGUUUGACUUCCGAGGUACAACUGUACAUAACCUAAGGGCAGAUGAUGCCCAGGGUUCAUCACAGUAGAAUGAGCAGAAGGUUCCCUAAAUGCACCAGUUAUGAAGUGGAGCAACACCCACUGCCAUAUAAAGACCCUCCCAUCCCAUUUAGUUCAUUAAGUCCACAGCUGAAAUUUUUCAGAACUCUGGUUGGGGUACAUUGUUCAGAUAGAGGACUACAAGCCCAUCUGGAUCAUAUUCUGGAUAAUGAGGGAGGGGGGCUGAGGUGAAAGUGGGUGGAGCAACAUCUAGUGAUGUUACCUUUGUAGUACAGGCUGGUUUCUAUGCUCCCACUCCCCUUUCUUAUCAAUUCAGACAAUCUAGAAGUGUUGUCAGAAUUCAAGGACACAAUCCAGAUGACCAGAAACACGCAAGGAGACCACAUAGCAGAGGGGUGAGUGAUGUGGCCUGGAUGGAGGGUAUGUCUUAAGAUGGGCAUGAUCUGUGGCUAUCUUGAAGGGUCAUCUAGAAAGGCCUGGACAUUGAGAUGCAAAGUCGUGGAGGGAAAGUUCCUUCCUAUGUGGUGGACUUGUAAAAGGGAAAGAGAGUAUUGGGAAAUGAUCCAUAAUGAAUUGAAAAAAAUGUUUCAAAGUACUCCCCACUCCACCCCACCCCCAGAGUCCUCUCUGUUGGGGAUAGUUCAGACUGAAAUUCCCAGGUGUCAAAAAAGGUGAUUUAUGUAUGCCACUAUUGCGACCCGUGUUUUGUUAGCCCCCAAAUGGAAAACAAGCGAAGUCCCAACCAAAGAAGAAUGGCAACUUAAGUUGACAGAAUAUGCACAACUUGCAAACUUAACACAUAGAAACAGAGAACAAGAAGAACAUAUAUUCAGAGAAGAUUGGAAAACAUUUAUUGAAUAUAUGGGAAAUAAUUGUGUACAGCUGAAAACAUUGGCAGCAUUAAGAUAAAUUCAAGUGUUGACGGAUGUAAUAAUGGAAUACUGAAUGGUUUAAGUUUAUGUAAAAUAUGCAGGGAUUUAUGAUAUGUAAAAUGAACCAUGGAAAGAGAAGAGGAAGUCAUUGCUAUUUUAAGGAUGUAAAAAUGAGUACAGUGGUACCUCGGGUUAAGUACUUAAUUGUUUCCGGAGAUCCAUUCUUAACCUGAAACUGUUCUUAACCUGAAGCACCACUUUAGCUAAUGGGGCCUCCUGCUGCUGCCGCGCCUCCGGAGCACAAUUUCUGUUCUCACCCUGAAGCAAAGUGCUUAACCUGAAGCACUAUUUUUGUGUUAGCGGAGUCUGUAACCUGAAGCGUAUGUAACCUGAGGUACCACUGUAUUUUAAAAUGGAAAACAGAAAAUUUAAUAAAAAUUAUAUACAAAAAGGAAAAAAGACACCUGAACUUUGCCCCCAGUUGUGGGAACUUACAAAGCUUUCCACAGCUUGAAUCGUGGGUUAACUGGAUGAGAGCGAGGUUAUCGUUUGAUUUCUGUGCCUGAAUGAGUAGGAAAGACGGGGCAGUUGGCGGUGGAAACUUGAGCAGAUAUGUCCUUCCUGAGCAUGUCCUCCUUCAUUUGCUUCACAGCUGCAGGUGGUGCAUGGGCUUUCUGUGACUGGUAAAUUCUAUGAGAUAUGGGAAGUUGGUCCAUCUUACAGGCCAAAAGUAGACAGCCAACAUUCUACAGACAGUGGUACCUCAGGUUAAGUACUUUAUUCAUUCCGGAGGUCCGUUCUUAACCUGAAACUGUUCUUAACCUGAAGCACCACUUUAGCUAAUGGGGCCUCAUGCUGCCGCCGUGUGAUUUCUGUUCUCAUCCUGAAGCAAAGUUCUUAACCCGAGGUACUAUUUCUGGGUUAGCGGAGUCUGUAACCUGAAGCGUAUGUAACCUGAGGUACCACUGUACAAGAUUUGAGAAAACGUGUGUCGGGUGGUGGGGAGGACAAAGCCCCACCCUUUAAUCAGAGCUGAAUUCAGACGUGCAAGUUCUGUCAGGGUCUACGUCAAGGGCAAAUGUGAAUUCACAUAGCCGCAAGUGAAGUUGAGCAAAGAAUUUCCAGGAGUCCAGUUGCAGCAGCAGCAGCCUCCUUGAGACUUUUUCAGGUCGACCAUUUUGUAUCCGAUAGCUUGUGAAGGUUGGAUUUGCAUGAACUGCAAAACCUCAUUUAAAGGGUGGUGUCAGAGACUGGACUGAAGAGGAGGAGGAGUGGAAGGGGUGUCCCCUCCCCGCCUUCUCCUGUAGCUUCCAGAGAGAAGGAAGGCAGUCCUGAUGUACAGCAGGGCUUGGAGGAAGAUAACAGCUCAGAGAUAGGCAGACAGCAGAGCUAUGCAGAGUUAGGAGAAGGGGGAGGGGAGGCAGAGCAGCUGGCUAACACGUCACUGGACAGCAUAACCGACCCCCCUCCUCCCAAAAUGCGGCCUUCAUUAAGAGUGCAAGAACAAAGAGCACAGAGACAAUGGUCCACGGACAGACGCCGUAGGAACAGGUGUUGUUGCUGGAGGGGAGAGGCGGAGGAGCUCAGUGUGAACAACUCCAUUAUGGAGGAAUGUCCGGAAUUCUUUGUCCUUACCGCGAUGACUGAAUAAAUCACAUGUAUUAUAAUAAUAAUAAUAAUAAUAAUAAUAAUAAUAAUAAUAAUAAUUUAUUAUUUAUACCCUGCCUCUGGGUGGCUUCCAACAGAAUAUUAAAAUACAGUAAUCUAUUAAACAUUAAAAGCUUCCCUAGACAGGGCUACCUUCAGAUGUCUUCUAAAAGUCAGAUAGUUGUUUUUUUCUUUGACAUCUGGUGGGAGUGUGUUCCACAGGGUAGGUGCCACUACCAAGAAGGCCCUCUGAAGGUUCCCUGUAACUUGGCUUCUCGCAGCGAGGGAACCGCCAGAAGGCCCUCGGCGUUGGACCUCAGUGUCUGGGAAGAACGAUGGGGUGGAGACGCUCCUUCAGGUAUACUGGACCGAGGCCGUUUAGGGCUUUAAAGGUCAGCACCAACACUUUGAAUUGUGCUUGGAAACGUAUUGGGAUCCAAUGUAAGAACUGGUUUGAGAGGCCAGGGGCCUUGUAACUACAGUUUUGACAAGGUCGUGCCAAAAUUGUGGACCUCUGCGUAAUGGUGGGACAUGUCACUGUCUCAAGGCAAAUCUUAAAAAAUGUAGUAUAAACACUGACAACUGGGAAACACUGGCCUGCGAGCGUUCCAGUUGAAGAACAGCCUUUACCAAAGGUGUCAUGGGCUUUGAAGACACUCGAACUUAGGACGCAAGGGAGAAACGUGAUAAGAGGAAGGCAUGCUUCGCAAAUCCACACCAUGAUCAACUCCCACCCAGAAACCAAUGUCCCCACUGUGGAAGGAUCUGUGGAUCCAGAAUUGGCCUCCACAGUCACUUACGGACUCAUUGUUAAAACCAUGUUUAUGGAAGACAAUCUUACUCAGCUACGAGUGAUUGCCAAAGAAGAGAAGAAGAAGAAGAAGAAGAAGAAGAAGAAGAAGAAGAAGAAGAAGAGGAGGAGGAGGAGGAGGAGGAGGAGGUGAGGUCAUUUCUGUAAAAGAAUCCAUCUGUUUAAAUAACUUGAUAUUCUUGCCAAAAAGAAAUAAAGUUCAUUUGGACCAAACUCAGCUCUUGCCUAAUUCUGGUUUCUUUGCUUUAUGGGGAAGGAGAGAGAAAGUUUUUGUCUCAGUUCCCCAUCAGAUGGUACCACAGUGGAACUUCGGGGUACCGGUGCCUUCCCAUGCAAAACAGUGAUAAACUGCCUCAUCUUCAGCCUGGACAUUGGAGAUGGUUAAAUAGCCGGUAUCCUCAGAGGGAGAAGCGGUGAACCUAUCUGGGACCCCGUCUCCCCUGGUGCUGGGACCAUACCAUAGAAAACGAGGAGGCUGCCCAGGUUUCUGUUGACACCAGCCAAAGGUCUGCCAGCUCCCCUUAUUCUUAGAGCAGGAGAGGGUCACAGUCUGACCCAGGGACACAGACUGGGAUCCCAGCUGGGUCAAUGCUGGCUGUGAAAUAACACCUUUGUAAAAAAAGAGAAAAAGAAAUGUAUGAUUCUCAAUCCUCUCUGUUCUCACAUAUCACCUGAACUUUAAGGCACUAUGAUAAAUAAACAUUACAGAUAUGCCCCCCCCCCAUUUAGGCCAGCUUAAGUCUACUUCUUUUUGUAUUUACCUAAACAGUAACUGAGAAGAACCAGGAAAAACAGAGUCCAGGCCAUGGUGAGCUCUCUAAAGCAAGGCGACUUUCUGAAGGUUAACAGGCAACUGCUGGUGGUCCUGAGUCUUUCCUUUGCUAAAACUUCCCAGAGCUGGUGAAGGAUCUUUUGAUGCAAAUCCAGGCGGUGCUCAUUGGCUCUGUUAAAAAGCCCUUGUCUGGAAUAAAUGAUGCAGUAAGCAAAAUACAAUGGAACUGAUUUGGAUAAAGGUGAUGUUUGCUUUUUAAAAUGAGGAGGUUCUUGUCUUGUGAACUUGAGGUCAAUUGACUAGGUCAGUUUACCUCAAGGAAGCAGGAUUGGGGCUGUAGUUCAAGGGAUGAGGGGUGAUGUGUGGAUGCUGAAGAUGUCGUCCCUGCAUCUCAAAUUAAUUUUUAAAAAAUCAAGCAGCACAUGAUGACAAAGGAGGGUGGUGGGUUGGCUUCUUUCAACUAGCAGUGUUUAAAUAGGCUUGCAAGUUAUCAUCAUCAUCAUUAUUAAUUUUAUUAUUCACAAACAGAAAGAAAAUGAAAAACAUAGUUACAAUUCAUAAACCAUAUUUUACCAAACCCAAACUCAUAUAGACUAAUAAAGAACUAUAAUUUGCACCUGUCUGACUUCCAUCCACCACAACUCGACAUCCUUUACUGCAUACUCUUAUUUACAUUGUGUCCUUAUAUUGUUCAUUUUAUAUCGAUUAGUAAUUUUACCUUGAAUUAGUUCCUCUUUGCAUACUUAUUCUAUGCAUAUAAAUAUGUUUUCCUUAGAGCAGUGUUUUUUCAUAUAUUCCUCAAAACAUUGCCAUUCCUUCCUUUGAUUAGACUGAUUUCUUAUGGCUGCUGUUACUUUAGCUAAUUCUAUAAAUUCACAUAAUUUACUUUUCCAGUCUUCCUUUGUGGGAAGUUUUUAGCAAGCAAUAAUCUGGCUGCGGCUGUGCCAUAUAAUUUUUUUUAUUCUGUUGAGACUAAGACAGCCAGUUGUGUCUGCCUUGGUGUUGAAACCCUUUUAUUUAUGGGAAUCUGCCUUAUAGCAGCUCCAACUAUUUCUUCAUUUAAGGCAAUUCCAGCUUGCCAUUAUUUUCAGGUGAGAUUCAGUCACGUACCAGCAAAUUGAGGCUGCACAAUUCAGGUUGAUUUCAAGGUGUUGUGCAGGAAGCCAGCUCCUCCUCAAGCGAGUAGUCAGGCAUAAGAAAAAACAUUCUGACGCUUCGCUUCACCCCAACAGUUCAGUUUUUGUAACAAUUCUCCAUUUCGUAAUAUAAUUCACUAUUAUUAUUUUUAAAAAACGGGUAGGUGGCCCAACAUUGUCCCCUGGAGGUUAAAGCCAGAACAGCAGAUACCACAAAACGCCUGCAUCACAUUUCAAAGCAAAAUACUGAAAUCACAAUCUAGUCAGUCUUAGUUACAGGUAGGUAGCCGUGUUGGUCUGUCGUAGUCGAAACAAAAUAAAAAUUUUUCCUUCCAGUAGCACCUUAGAGACCAAGUGAGUUUGUUACUGGUAUGAGCUUCGUGUGCAUGAAGAAUCUGAAGAAGUGUGGAUGCUCACAAAGCUCAUACCAAUAACAAACUCAGUUGGUCUCUAAGGUGCUACUGAAAGGAAUUUUUUUAAUUUUGUUUAGUCAGUCUUAUGCAUUCACAUUCCCCUUGCUUUCCCCACCAGGAAGAAAGGGUGUGUUCAACUUUGGUUGUGUGAAGUUGUGCUUGAAAACAACAUUCACGGGAGCUCCUGCUUUGUAUUGUUGUGGAAGGAUCAUAGUUUAUUGGCAGUGAACACACACAUGUAUAUUGUAAAUGUGUGAAUCUGUUUAUUCUUCUACAUAGUUCAUACUCAUUUUGAUACAGCUAUGCGGUGUCGCACAUAUCAGUUUAGAUGCUAAUUCCUAUUGGAAACCUGGAAUAUAUAUUUUGUAUAACGUUACACAUAUAACAAUGUAUAUAAUAAUACAACAUUGGCUCCCCAUCUGUGGGAUGCUCUCCCCAGGCAAGUUUGCCUGGCGCCUUCAUUACACACCUUUUGGCGCCAGGCAGAAACGUUCCUUUUUAACCAGGCCUUUGGUUGAUCUGAUUUACUUCCUAUGCCCUUUUUAAAAUGUGGGGUUUUUGUGGGGAGGAGCUAUUUGGUGGUUGCUUUUAUUUUAUUAUGUAUUUUGUGGUUUUAUAUCUUGAUUUUAUUCUGUGAACCUCCCAGAGACCCCUAGGUAUAGGGCGGUAUAUAAAUUUAAUAAAUAAUAAUAAUAAUAACCUCACAAUGGUAACAAGCUGCUCAAUAAUAGAUUAAACGACUUGAGAGAUUAUAGGAUCUUCCACUAUGGUGGCAUUUAAGCGAUGGACGGGAAGCUACCUGUCAGAUAUGCUGAGGUUUGCAAGAUUCCGGCAUUCAGCAGUUAGAUGAACUCCAACGUCCCAUCCAGAAGGUACUCAAAAAUGAUAAAUUUUGCCAGUACAGUGGUACCUCGGGUUAAUAACUUAAUUCGUUCCGGAGGUCCGUUCUUAACCUGAAACUGUUCUUAACCUGUGGUACCAUUUUAGCUAAUGGGGCCUCCCACUGCUGCCACGCCGCCACCGUGCGAUUUCUGUUCUUAUCCUGAAGCAAAGUUCUUAAGCCGAGGUACUAUUUCUGGGUUAGCGGAGUCUGUAACCUGAAGCGUCUGUAACCCAAGGUACCACUGUAUUAUACACCCCGAUCAUUCAUGGCCUGUUGGCGGUUCCCUAAAUAAAACCAAAAGGACACAAAGACAAUAGAUCAGGCUUCCUCAAACACGGCCCUCCAGAUGUUUGAAGACUACAAUUCCCAUUAUCCCUGACCACUGCUAGCUAGGGAUCGUGGGAGUUGUAGGCCAAAAACAUCUGGAGGGCCGAGCUUAGGGAAGACAGCCAUAGAUAGAACUGAAAACUAUCAAAGCAGUCAAAACCCAGACAAGAGCAGAAAGCCAGUAAAUAGCAUUAAAAACCAACAAGGGGGAUCAUAGGAGCCAACUCCUAGGGGCUGAAAUCCGUUUGCCCUCCCUCCAAGAAAAUGUUUGAUGGGGCUGCCUCUCUCCCCCCCCCCCAGUUGAUGGGCAUUGCCAUUCAAAUGGUGCUGUGUGGGUCGUGUCCUGUGAUCAGCAUUGCGGGGCAGAGCUUACUUGUCUCUCCCCCCUAAGAAUAUUUUAUUCAGGUUGACACCCCUGAGGAGAAUACAAUUUAGCCAGGAGGUUGGAAAUUGCAAAUAAACAGUGUUCUCAGAAGUGGAAGUUCUUGGCCUUCCUGAUUUCUGAUUCUUCCGGUCAUUUUAACGAUUUCAGCACGAUCCAUCAACUUGAUCUGUCAUUCUUCUCUGGUAUAAGUCAGCUCCUGAGCGAUCCUUGUUUGAAAACUCCAGGUGAAGUGUGAGAGAGAGGUUUUUGUAUCAGUUCCCCAUUAGAUUGUACCACCGUGGAACACGUUACUGCCUGUCACCCAGUCAGCACAGUAAUAAACCGCCUCGUCUUCAGCCUGGACAUUGGAGAUGGUUAAAUAGUAAGUGUUCCCAGAGACAGAGGGAGUGAACCGAUCAGGGAUCCCUUCUCCCCGGGUGCCGGUAGCAUAGAACACGAAACGAGGAGCCUGUCCACCUUUCUGUUGAAGCCAGCUAUAAAUAUGCAAGCUGCCACUACUUCUAGAGCAGGAGAGUUUGACAGUUUGACCCGGGAGCACAGACUCAGAGGCAGGCUGGAUCAAUGUUGUCUGCGAUGUGACACCUUUGCAAAAGAAAAAUCAAAUAAAAGCACAUGAAUCAUUUCCAGUGUUCUCAAAUAUUAGGAAAGACUAUAGCUUUCUUGCUGGUACAUGCAUCAUUUUCUGCGCCCUCAGAUUUCAGAAAAUUAUUAUCUUCUUGUGAAAGUAACAGAAGUCAAGUCAAAUAAUAUGUUAGGUCUCCACAAACAUACCUGAACAGUAACUGAGACAUGUGACGAGAACAAGGAUCCAGGCCAUGGUGAAUGUCAAAAGGAGGGUGGAUCCCACAAACAGAUCUCUAGUCUGGUGGCACCUCCCUGCCACCCUCUUAAAUCACCUGGGAAAUGAGGCACGAGCAAUUAUGCAAAUACCUCGACACCCGUUGGCCUUGCUAGAAAGAAUAUGAGGAAAUACAGGGAAAAACCAGAAGAUGACCACAGAACAGAUUUAGCAUGAAGGGGGUGUUUUCACAGAAGAUUGAAGCUUCUAUGUAUUGCUUAGGUCAUGAUUGGGGAACUGUAGAACCAGGGGCUGAAUAUGGCCUCCCAAAAUAAUAAUAAUAAUAAUAAUAAUAAUAAUAAUAAUAAUAAUAUUAACUAUUAUUGUUGUGUGUGUAUGUAUUAUUACCCACCCAUCUGGCUGGGCUGCCCCAGCCACUCUGGGCAGCUAACAGUUUACAUAAAGACAUAUGAAAAUGUCAAACAUAAAUUUUCCAUUGCAGGCCUGCCUUCAGAUGUCUUCUGAUAGUUGUAGUACUUUGCAGUUAGUCCAUCCGGCCCUGGAGAUUUGCCCAGUUUCAUAUUCUGAAUUGCUCCUUCCACCUCUUGAUCAGAUAUUGUAGAGUUUAAUAUCGAUUUACUCUCUUGAGAUACUUUUUGUAAUCCAUUAUUUUCCAAAAAUCGGUCAAUGUCUAAUUCUUUCUGAGUCUCCUGCGUAUAUAACUGUUUAAAAUAAUUCUGAAAGCACUUCCGAAUCUCUCCAGGAUUCUGUAUGUUCUCCCUUCUACAACCAAGUUCGUAAUCGUAUUCAGCUUUUGUCUUUUUUUCAUUUGCCAGGCCAAUAAUUUCCCACAUUUAUUUGCCGAUUCGAAAGUCUUUUGUUUCAUCUGUUUGAUCUUCCAUUCUAUCUCCUGGUUCAUCAAUUUCAUAUAUUGUACUUGGUAUAGCUUUAUCUCUUUUAAAAUCUCCUGUGAGUUCGGUUUCGCUCUCAGUCUUUUUCUCCAUCCUUAAUUUUCUCCAAAAUUUUUCUCUCUUCUCAUUUUGAUAUCUUUUCCUAAUUGAAUUUUGUUGUAUCAAAAUCCUCUCAUCACCGCUUUACUGGCAUCCCAAAUCACUCUUUUUUUCUGUCGUAGUAUUCAAAUUUAUUUCAAAAUAGUCUCUCAAAUUCUUCUGAGCCUUUUUAAUAAUUUCCUCAUUCCUAAAUAAGGAGUCAUUCAUCCUCCAUCUAAAGGCCCCAAUUGGCGUUGAUAUCAUUUCAAUCUUUACUGGAUUGUGAUCAGAGCAAAUUUUCGGGCAAAUCACCGCUUUUUUAAUUUUAGGAGCCAGUCCUCUAGUUAUCCAGAUUUGGUCUAUUCUUGUCCAUGUCAUAUUUGCUUCAGAGAAGAAGGUUCCUUCUCUUUCCAAGGGGUUCUUUAUUCGCCAAAUAUCCACAAGAUCCAUAUUGUCAGUCAUUUCAAAAAAUGUCCUUGGCAGUCUUCCAUCUUUUGUCACUGUUUGUCUUUGGGCUUUAUCCAUAUUUGUAGACACUACUCCAUUCAUAUCUCCCAUCAAAAUAAUGUUGUAAUCCAGAUAAUCCAGGAGAGUUUCAUGCAGUUUCUUAAAGAAUUCUGAUUUUCCCUCAUUUGGUGCAUAUACGCCUAUUAUCAAAAAUUUCUGUCCUUGGAAUUGAAUUUCAAUUGCUAUAUAUCUUCCUUGAUCAUCUUUAAAUAUAAAUUUUGGUGACAGGCUUUCCUUCGCAUAAAGUACUACCCCUCUUUUUUACAUUAUCCGAUGAGAUAAAUUCCUCCCAAUCUUUUAUUUAUCAAAAUUUUCCAAUGUAGCCUUGUCACAUGAGUCUCUUGUAGGCAAAUCAAGUCCAAAUGUUCUUUUUUCAGUGUAUGAAAUACUCUCCCCCUUUUUGCCGACGAAUUUAGACCGUUAAUAUUCCAGCUUAAAAUUUGUAGUGUCAUUUUGUAGUUACUCUCCUUCUCCUCCAACAGCCCCAAGAAGAUUGUCUAUAUCUGUCGGUGGCGUUGGUUUCACUUUGUGUUGCAGACCCUUAUCCGGUAUCGCAAUGUCGAUUCCCAAUCCUUUCUGUAGAUUUUCUUCGUAUGCACUCAGAAACUUGUUCUUUUCCUCCACUGAUCUAAUCUUGGUCUUUCUUCCUUUGAAGCUAAAGGAUAGACCUUGGGAAUUUCCCACCUAAAAAGGAUUUUAUUUUUCUCAACAAGUCCACCAAAUCUCCAAAGUCCUUUCUUAAAUCAAGAAGAUGUUUUGGUAUAUCUUUGAAGAUUUCCACUUUUGAUUGUAUAAUUGUCAAAGGUUUUUCGUAAUGCAAGCCCAAAAUUUUGUCCCUUUCUUCUUUGGAUCGGAGGGUGAUCAAACAGUCCCUUAUUUUGAUCUUUCUUCCUCCUUUCCCCAGUCGAAAGGCCCUCACAAUCUUAAAAUCCUCUUGUUUCAAUUCCGAUUUCCAAAAGUCCAAAAAUUCUUGUGUCAAAAAGUCUAUCAAGGUACCUUUCUCCAACUCAGGAACAGCUCUAAUUCUAAGAUUCGUUUGUUUGUCUUUAAGGUCAAUCAUAGACAACGUUAACUUAUGUUCUGCAAUCUCUUUCUGCAAGUCUGGUACUUUUUCAGUUUCCAAUUGCCCCAAUUUAAAUUCUACAGCAGCAGUUUUUCUGUAUAGACUUUGAGUCUUGCAGUAGUUUCUGAAUAGAUUCCGUAUUGCUGUUUACUUUUUUCUCCAAAUUGCCUAAUGUUUCUGUGUUUAAGUCAAUUUUCCUGUUUGCAAUAUCCACUUUCUGGUUCGUCUCUUCCACCUUCCUAUUCGUCUCCCCCACUUUUGUACUUAAUUGCUGUAUUGAUUCAUUAAUCUUAGUCAGAGCACUGGCUAAAAGUUCCUCAGACAUUCCACCAGACUUAGAUUGUAUUGCCGAUGCGGGCAAACCAGCAGAUGAUUGCCUUCUAUGUGUCCAAGGUUUCCCUGAUCUCAAAGUUGACUGGUCUUUUUGACCAUCAGCCAUAACAAAGUGAAGGUCAAAUUCCUUUCCCACGUCUGAUGUUCCUGUUUAUAAGUGGAAAAUUCCUUUCCUUUCCUGUAAUUGCAGGGAGUCCCACUAGAUGGACACUGUUACCACCUAGCAAGUUACUGUCCUUUUGAAAUAACAGGAGAAAGAUACUAAGUAAAAAGGCAAAAAUAGAGAACACAAUAUAGCUUUCCAGUCCUUUCCAAUCUUUUCCCAAUGAAGUUGGCCACAGUGUAUCUCCUUUGCAACCAACAAGCAGCUUUAACAGCUUUGACAGCUGAGACGUCCCACUGACAGGUCACUCAUUAAAUCCUUCAAUUUAAACAGUCCGGUAGAAUCAAGAGUCUUUCCCUUAUCCCUCCAAAGGGUAGAUCCCUCCAAAUUUCUCAGGUCAGAAAGAAACACUUAUUUCAGUUCAGUUUUCCCACGUUUAGCUCCAAAUCUCUUUGCUUUAUUCCAUAAACAGUGCAGGGAAGCGGACUUCCUGUUUACGCUUCCACCGCGGUAGCCAAUUCAGAUGUUUUUAAACGGCUUAAAACUUUUCCGCUUUUUCACAAAUAGUCCAAUUAAUCCAAAUAAUGCUCUUUUAUCCAAUUCUUCUACUCACGGUUAAAUUUUAAGUCCAAAUGUCCCAGGAAUAAGUCAGCGCUCUCCAGCAACGGCAACACGGCUUCGCUCAGUGAAAGCAGCGAUCCGCUCGCAGCACCGCGCUUCUCCCCCGCUCCCUUCUGAAGCCUCAAAAAAAGGCUUCCUUUCGGGUUGGGGGGGGCGCUCCAAGGUGCCAGCCGAGCCUCCACGUUCACAGGCGUCCGCGCCUGCGAUUUCUGAGGGUCCCCGCUUCGCCGGAGCGCACAGGACCCGAUCUCCCGCUGAGCUACCCCCUCCGAAACUCAAAGGAGGUCCGCCAUUGCUGCUGGCGCUGACCGGAAGUAUUAUUACCCACCCAUCUGGCUGGGCUGCCCCAGCCACUCUGGGCGGCUAACAGUUUACAUAAAGACUUAGUAAAAUGUCAAACAUAAAUUUUCCAUUGCAGGGCUGCCUUCAGAAGUCUUCUGAUAGUUGUGUAGUUCUUUAUCCCUUUGACAUCUGAUGGGAGGGCAUUCCCGAGGCAGGGUGCCACUGUCAAGAAGGCCCUCUGCCUGGUUCCCUGUAACCUCACUUCUCACAGUGAGGGAAGCAGCAGAAGACCCUCGGAGGAAGACCUCAGUGUCCGGGCUGAGCAAUGGACGGUGGAGAAGCUCCUUCAGAUAUUUGCUUUUGUGGGUCUCAGGACGUGCUCUGAACAUGCCCGCUUCAGGCCACAUGCCUCACUGGCAUGGUGCUGUGGCCCCCAAUGAUUCUGCCUGGCUUGAACAUAUCCCUGAAUGUUGAUGAUGCUAUAAUAAUAAUAAUAAUACACACACAAUAAUAUGCAAACGUAUUUAAGCACUCCUUGUUGAAAGUAGCCAACCCACCACCCUCCUUUCUCAGAUUCAGGGACUCACAACAAAGGUGGAAAUUAAGAAAUAAAAUCAGCUCCCGAACUCUGAAGCUUUGUCCAGGUUGCAAUGGAAACUUCUCUCCAUUGCAAACUAUGAUUACGGGGGGGGGGGGGGGGUGGAGUGGCUCAUCAGCACUGCUCCUCAUGCAAAUGUCUCCUAAGCGAGUCGUCAGGCAUAAGAAAAAACAUUCUGACGUUUCGCUUCACCCCAACAGUUCAGUUUUUGUAACAAUUUUCCGUUUUGUAAUAUAAUUCACUUUUAAAAACAACAACGGGUAGGUGGCCCAACAUUGUCCCCUGGAGGUUAAAGCCAGAACAGUAGACACCACAAAACGCCUGCAUCACAUUUCAAAGCAAAAUACUGAAAUCACAAUCUAGUCAGUCUUAGUUACAGGUAGGUAGCCAUGUUGGUCUGCCAAAGUUGGAACAAAAUAAAAAAAUUCCUUCCAGUAGCACCUUAGAGACCAACUGAGUUUGUUAUUGGUAUGAGCUUUCGUGUGCAUGAAGAAUCUGAAGAAGUGUCGAUGCUCACGAAAGCUCAUACCAAUAACAAACUCAGUUGGUCUCUAAGGUGCUACUGAAAGGAAUUUUUUUUAUUUUGUUUAGUCAGUCUUAUGCAUUCACAUUCCCCUUGCUUUCCCCACCAGGAAGAAAGGGUGUGUUCAACUUUGGUUGUGUGAAGUUGUGCUUGAAAACAACAUUCACGGGAGAUCCUGCUUUGUAUUGUUGUGGAAGGAUCAUAGUUUAUUGGCAGUGAACACACACAUGUAUAUUGUAAAUGUGUGAAUCUGUUUAUUUUUCUACAUAGUUCAUACUCAUUUUGAUACAGCUAUGCGGUGUCGCACAUAUCAGUUUAGAUGCUAAUUCCUUUUGGAAACCUGGAAUAUAUAUUUUGUAUAACGUUACACAUAUAACAAUGUAUAUAAUAAUACAUUGGCUCCCCAUCUGUGGGAUGCUCUCCCCAGGGAAGUUUGCCUGGCGCCUUCAUUACACACCUUUUGGCGCCAGGCAGAAACGUUGGGAUUCAAGCCUUUAUCAGGAGAAACUGGCCACUCUCCAGGCACCCGGCUUGAUCUCCUGAUGACCUCCCUGUCUGCAUUCCCCAGCAGGAUCCAGGCAAAGGUCGCAAUAGGCGAUCCUUCUCAGCGUGAGAAGAACACACCCCCUCUUUCCUGCCCCCCCGGGCAGGAGGAAGAUAGACAGAAACGUAUUUACGUGCCUUUAUUUCUGUCUUUGCAGCGUUACAAUAAUUAUGACUGCUCUCUUCAAGCUUCAGCAGUCGAGAGACAAACUCCUCCUGUACUUCCUGUACAGCUCAUAUUACACUCUGAGCUAAUUCCGGUGUCCUCUGCACUGUGAAUUGACUGUCCCUCUGUUUCCCACGGAACAGUCCCAACAUUCCCAUUAUGUUUUGCUUUCAAGCUACCAGCUCGCGGCCGCAUUGCUUCUAUAUCGUAACAUACUCCCCCAUAUGAAUCAAUGUGCGCUGCAAGCAAAGCGUGAUCCAGAGAAGAAAACAAACAGUUGUUAUACAUAUAACACUCGCCUGUUGUUUCAGUUCCACCCUUGGAACUACCCGCCACUGGUUUCCCCAGUGUAUCUCUCUGGUUGUCUGUCUUCCAAGGAAUGAGUGCAUCUGCAUUACCUUGGCUAGGGAAUGUAGUGUUACGCUUAGCAACUCUCUGUUGUGUCUUUGUCUCUGACUUAGACACAGCUUCAACCUGUCUUGAGUUGUCAACAAUAGUAACACAUGCUACAGCUGAGUUAGCAAACUCUUUUGAAUACCUCUUGGGUGGUACACCCUUUGUAACUCUCUCGGACCUGCGUAUGAGGUGCUGAUCCUCUCUGCUCACUGGUUCAGUCUCAGGACUCUUUGGAGAACCAGUUCCAAUAGUAAACAGUGGUUCAUCCUUCACCUGUGAAGGUCUAUCCAUUGUGUGAGAUUUCCUCUCAAUGACUGUGUCAACUGAGCUCUUUGAGCUAUCACUGUCACUCUCAGUACCACUGUAAUCAGUAAAAUCAUCAUCAUCAUCAUCUGAAUUGUCCUCAGUGGGAAAUGUGUGAACAAUUACUCUCUCCUGUUCAGGAGCACUCUCUAGAAAUUUUGUGAGAACCACCUGACCAGAUUCAGACAAAAUUACUCUGUAGAGACCCUUUUCAUAACCCACAAAAAUGCCUCUAGCAUUCUUUACUCCACCUGGAGCUUCAGUCUUCACAUGAGACCCAAAAACCUUAAAAUGUGCAACAGAAGGUUUUCUGUGGAACAGCUUUUCAAAAGGAGAACUUCCUAAACCUUUUGAAACCUUUCUCAUCCAAUUGUAACAAAAACACAAUAUCGAUUCCGCCCAGUACUCAUGUGGCAAAUGUGAACUCAGCAAUUGUGCCUUCAUGCCAUUUUGCAAUUCUUUGUUCACUUGCACACAGAUACUUCUGUUCCAUGCUUCUGCAGAAACAGCAGUCUUGUGCCUUAUCCCUUUCUUAUCCAGGAAAUCCUGAAAAUCCUGCAAAAGAAAAACUGGCUUUUCAUCUGUGAAAAGACAAUCAAUGUUAGCAUCAUGAACAUUCUUAACCUUGUCACAAAACUCUUUAAACCUUUCUAAGGCUUCUUGUGGUUUCUGCAAUAUAUAUACCCACACAUAAUGAGAGAAAUAAUCCACACACACAAGAUAAUAUCUUGCAUUGCCUCUAGAUGGUGCUAGAGGACCAAUCACAUCAGCAUACACUCGCUGAAAAGCUUUAGUUACUUUCGUCGUCUUCUGGACGUUUUUCGACACACCUGCGAGAGAAAUCAUGUUAGAAUCAGAUGCAUUACAAUUUAUGCAAUCACUUUGAUCAAAAGUCAACAAAUACAGUCCAUCUUCUCUCUGGCAGAAAGAUACAGCUCUCCAUCUUUGAAGAUUUUGCAGCUUUCUCUAUCAUAGGACAAAGUCAGUCCUUUCUUUGUGAUCUGCGAAACACUCAGCAGAUUGAACUUUAAAUCAGGAACCAAAUACACAUUGUUUAUAGUCAAGUUCAGACUCUCAAGAUACACAGUUCCAAACCCGGUCGCUUCCAGCUCCUGACCGUUGGCUUGUUUCACAGUGAAGCUUUGCUUCUUAAACGUUGAAAACAGAUCUUGCCGCGACGUCAUGUGUUGCGUCGCUCCAGUGUCCAAAAUAAAAGCGUUCUCCAUUGAAAAUGCGGCUUUUGUUGACAGCAAUGCCUUUGCCGGUUUCACCUGGGACUUGGUACGACUUUUGCCUGAUGCCUCAGGCUUUGCAGAGCUCCCUUUAGCUCCUUUCUGUUGAUGUGGCUUCUUACAAUUCCGCUGAAGAUGCCCAGUCUGUCCACAAUUGAAACAACGGACAACGUUCAAAGCAACAGCCUGUUCUUCACUAGCAAUAGCAGCGGGGGUGUCAGAACUCCGAGCUUCUCUCCCCCUGUCUUUGACAUCUAUUGCAGCAAGUCUGUCUUUCUCAUUGAGAAUCACGGCACAAAUUCUCUCCGCCGAAAGAUCUGCGGCAGGUAGAGAACCAAGCUGACUUGCAACCGUUUUAUAAGUCCGAUUAAGGCUGUUAAUAAUCAUGAAGCAGAAUAUCUCUUCCUGUAGAGGAAAUUGCGUUCCGCCAUCUGCUGGCGUAAGAAUUUCAUCUCUGUCAGAUGCGCUUGUACAUCUCCAUCAGGCGCUAGCCUUAGAUUGGUUAGCUUUUCAAAAUGCAGCAACGCUGAAGAACCAGCAUCUCUUUGAUGUAUUCUACGCAGCGUUUGCCAAAUCUCACGCGCGUCUUCCAAAUCCUGAAUAUGCACGAGUUGAUCAUCUGAGAUACACAGAAUUAUGGCCGUCCUGGCUCUCACAUUCUGUGAAUUCCAACCUGGCGUUGGUGCAGCAGGGAUGGGGUUAUCAAUCACCCCAAAAAUCCUCUGAUUCUGAAGCAGGGCUUUCAUCUUUACAGACCAUGAGGAAUAAUUGUCAUUAGUCAGUGGAGGUGGGUAAGGUAAGCUUCCCCCCUUCUUGGUAUCCAUUUUGAAUCCAAGUGGCAGCUCUCACUCUCGAGCCUGUAAAAUUCCAAGAGUCUAUUGGCUGUUUACUGCCUCACUUGGCAGCUAAACACAGGCUGUUUUGAAAGUCCCUCCAAGAGCAGUGAGAUAAUAGACAAAACAAACGCUGUUUACCAGCCUCUCACAGUCCCAGCCCCACUUCCGUUGUUGGCCAGUAACUUUCCACUUUACUGACGUUUCGUUGCUUAGCAACUGGACAUUCCAGGCUUAUCAAGACUCAGGUAUGCGAAAUAUGUGGCUCUCUUUCAGUGCUGGUUUCAUCCAAAAGCAGACACUCAGUGAACCGAAGAAUGCUUCAAUUCGCGUUCACUCUCACAGCCAUAAAAUCACCAUACCUUGAGGGAAUCCGUUGCUCAGCAAAAACACCUCCUCCGGUGCUCAGCCGUCCUUGUAGCUUCCAUCCACCCGCUACAACAUUCUUUCUUUAUUUUUUUGCAGAGGAUGAAGUACGAUCCAUCAACCUCUCUUGUUGCUUUCAUGGAUCACAACCAUCGGCUCCGUGCUACCAGAUGUUGGGAUUCAAGCCUUUAUCAGGAGAAACUGGCCACUCUCCAGGCACCCGGCUUGAUCUCCUGAUGACCUCCCUGUCUGCAUUCCCCAGCAGGAUCCAGGCAGAGGUCGUAAUAGGCGAUCCUUCUCAGCGUGAGAAGAACACACCCCCUCUUUCCUGCCCCCCCGGGCAGGGGAGAGAGAUAGACAGAAACGUAUUUACAUGCCUUUAUUUCUGUCUUUGCAGCGUUACAAAAAUCAUGACUGCUCUCUUCAAGCUUCAGCAGACGAGAGACAAACUCCUCCUGUACUUCCUGUACAGCUCAUAUUACACUCUGAGCUAAUUCCGGUGCCCUCUGCACUGUGAAUUGACUGUCCCUCUGUUUCCCACGGAACAGUCCCAACAUUCCCAUUAUGUUUUGCUUUCAAGCUACCAGCUCGCGGCCGCAUUGCUUCUAUAUCGUAACACUUUUUAACCAGGCCUUUGGUUGAUCUGAUUUACUUCCUAUGCCCUUUUAAAAUGUGGGGUUUUUUUGUGGGGGAGGGGAGCUAUUGGGUGGUUGCUUUUACUUUUAUUAUGUAUUUUGUGGUUUUAUAUCUUGAUUUUAUUCUGUGAACCUCCCAGAGACCCCUAGGUAUAGGGCGGUAUAUAAAUUUAAUAAAUAAUAAUAAUAAUAACCUCACAAUGAUAACAAGCUGCUCAAUAAUAGAUCAAACGACUUGAGAGAUGAUAGGAUCUUCCACUAUGGUGGCAUUUAAGCGAUGGACGGGAAGCUACCUGUCAGAUAUGCUGAGGUUUGCAAGAUUCCGGCAUUCAGCAGUUAGAUGAACUCCAACGUCCCAUCCAGAAGGUACUCAAAAAUGAUAAAUUUUGCCAGUACAGUGGUACCUCGGGUUAAUAACUUAAUUCGUUCCGGAGGUCCGUUCUUAACCUGAAACUGUUCUUAACCUGAGGUACCACUUUAGCUAAUGGGGCCUCCCACUGCUGCCACGCCGCCACCGUGCGAUUUCUGUUCUUAUCCUGAAGCAAAGUUCUUAACCCGAGGUACUAUUUCUGGGUUAGCGGAGUCUGUAACCUGAUGCGUCUGUAACCCAAGGUACCACUGUAUUAUACACCCCGAUCAUUCAUGGCCUGUUGGCGGUUCCCUAAAUAAAACCAAAAGGACACAAAGACAAUAGAUCAGGCUUCCUCAAACACGGCCCUCCAGAUGUUUGAAGACUACAAUUCCCAUUAUCCCUGACCACUGCUAGCUAGGGAUCGUGGGAGUUGUAGGCCAGAAACAUCUGGAGGGCCGAGUUUGAGGAAGUCUGCAAUAGAUAGUACUGAAAACUAUCAAAGCAGUCAAAACCCAGACAACAUCAGACAGCCAGUAAAUAGCAUUAAAAACCAACAAGGGGGACCAUAGGAGCCAACUCCUAGGGGCUGAAGUCCCUUUGCCCUCCCUCCAAGAAAAUGUUUGAUGGGGCUGCCUCUCCCCCCCCCCCAUUUGAUGGGCAUUGCCAUUCAAAUGGUGCUGUGUGGGUCGUGUCCUGUGAUCAGCGUUGCGGGGCAGGGCUUACUUGUCUCUCCCCCCUAAGAAUAUUUUAUUCAGGUUGACACCCCUGAGGAGAAUACAAUUUAGCCAGGAGGUUGGAAAUUGCAAAUAAACAGUGUUCUCAGAAGUGGAAGUUCUUGGCCUUCCUGAUUUCUGAUUCUUCCGGUCAUUUUAACGAUUUCAGCACGAUCCAUCAACUUGAUCUGUCAUUCUUCUCUGGUAUAAGUCAGCUCCUGAGCGAUCCUUGUUUGAAAACUCUAGGGGAAGUGUGAGAGAGAGGUUUUUGUAUCAGUUCCCCAUCAGAUUGUACCACUGUGGAACACGUUACUGCCUGUCACCCAGUCAACACAGUAAUAAACCGCCUCGUCUUCAGCCUGGACAUUGGAGAUGGUUAAAUAGUAAGUGUUCCCAGAGGUGGAGGCAGCGAACCGAUCAGGGAUCCCAUCUCCCCGGGUGCCGGUAGCAUAGAACACGAUACGAGGAGCCUGUCCACCUUUCUGUUGAUACCAGCUAUAAUAAGCCAAGCUGCCACUACUUCUAGAGCAGGAGAGUUUGACAGUUUGACCCGGGAGCACAGACUCAGAGGCAGGCUGGAUCAAUGUUGUCUGCGAUGUGACACCUUUGCAAAAAGAAAAAUCAAAUAAAAGCACAUGAAUCAUUUCCAGUGUUCUCAAAUAUUAGGAAAGACUAUAGCUUUCUUGCUGGUACAUGCAUCAUUUUCUGUGCCCUCAAUUUUUGGAAGAUUUUUAUCUUCUUGUGAAAAGUAACAGAAGUCAAGUCAAAUAAUACAUUAGGUCUCCACAAACAUACCUGAACAGUAACUGAGACAUGUGACGAGAACAAGGAUCCAGGCCAUGGUGAAUGUCAAAAGGAGGGUGGAUCCCACAAACAGAUCUCUAAUCCUGUGGCACCUCCCUACCACCCUCUUAAAUCACCUGGGAAAUGAGGCACGAGCAAUUAUGCAAAUACCUCGACACCCGUUGGCCUUGCUAGAAAGAAUAUGAGGAAAUACAGGGAACAUCCAGCAGAUGACCACAGAACAGAUUUUGCAUGAAAGGGUGUUUUCACAGAAGAUUGAAGCUUCUAUGUAUUGCUUAGGUCAUGAUUGGGGAGCUAUAGAACCAGGGGCUGAACAUGACCUCCCAAAAUUAUUAUUAUUAUUAUUAUUAUUAUUAUUAUUAUUAUUAUUACCCACCCAUCUGGCUGGGCUGCCCCAGCCACUCUGGGCGGCUAACAGUUUACAUAAAGACAUAGUAAAAUGUCAAACAUAAAUUUUCCAUUGCAGGGCUGCCUUCAGAAGUCUUCUGAUAGUUGUGUAGUUCUUUAUCUCUUUGACAUCUGAUGGGAGGGCAUUCCAGAGGCAGAGUGCCACUGUCAAGAAGGCCCUCUGCCUGGUUCCCUGUAACCUCACUUCUCACAGUGAGGGAACCAGCAGAAGACCCUCGGAGGAAGACCUCAGUGUCCGGGCUGAGCAAUGGAAAGUGGAGAAGCUCCUUCAGAUAUUUCCUUUUGUGGCUCUCAGGACGUGCUCAGAACAUGCCCUCUUCAGGCCACAUGCCUCACUUUCAUGGUGCUGUGGCCCCCAAUGAUUCUGCCUGGCUUGAACAUAUCCCUGAAUGUUGAUGAUGCUUAAUAAUAAUAAUAAUAAUAAUAAUAAUAUGCAAACGUAUUUAAGCACUCCUUGUUGAAAGAAGCCAACCCACCACCCUCCUUUCUCAGAUUCAGGGACUCACAACAAAGGUGGAAAUUAAGAAAUAAAAUCAGCUCCCGAACUCUGAAGCUUUGUCCAGGUUGCAAUGGAAACUUCUCUCCAUUGCAAACUAUGAUUACCGGGGGGGGGGGGGGAGUGGCUCAUCAGCACUGCUCCUCAUGCAAAUGUCUCCUAAGCGAGUCGUCAGGCAUAAGAAAAAACAUUCUGACGCUUCGCUUCACCCCAACCGUUCAGUUUUUGUAACAAUUUUCCAUUUUGUAAUAUAAUUCACUUUUUUUAAAAAAAACGGGUAGGUGGCCCAACAUUGUCCCCUGGAGGUUAAAGCCAGAACAGUAGACACCACAAAACGCCUGUAUCACAUUUCAAAGCAAAAUACUGAAAUCACAAUCUAGUUAGUCUUAGUUAUAGGUAGGUAGCUGUGUUGGUCUGCCAUAGUCAAAACAAAAUAAAAAAAUUCCUUCCAGUAGCACCUUAGAGACCAACUGAGUUUCUUAUUGGUAUGAGCUUUCGUGUGCAUGAAGAAUCUGAAGAAGUGUGGAUUUCCAAGGUAUGACUGUAUUUUUAUUAUUAUUAUUUUGAGAAAACGUAGACCGAAAACUCACCCACUAAUCCAAGAUGAAAUGAUUAUUUAAUUCAGGAUUUUCUUCAUAGCUGUAAUUUCAGCAGUGCUCUUCUAAGGUUGAAUUUGAAUUUAUGACAUUCCAAAUGAAGUUUACAUAAUAAAUUCCAGUUUUCAAGGAAUCCCACUCUGCCUGCUUUGGAUCCUUUUUGCAUCUUGCCAAUAUCUGUUAGCUUUCUAGUUCCAGUUUUAUUAAUCCAAGACUUGGAUUUCACAGCAAAUCAUGAUUUCAGUAUUAGGGGAGUAAUGCUAAGUAACAGCUUCUCUCUGUUACACCUUUUCCCACUCUUUGGUUCAGUUUUCCACAUUUUGACACAAGAAGAAGAAGAAGAAGAUGAAGAAGAAGAAGAAGAAGAAGAAUAGGAAGAAGAAGAAGAAGAAGAAGGACACUGACAAACUGGAACGUGUCCAGAGGAGGGCAACCAAAAUGGUCAAAGGCCUGGAAACGAUGCCUUGUGAGGAACGGCUAAGGGAGCUGGGCAUGUUUAGCCUGGAGAAGAGGAGGUUAAGGGGUGAUAUGAUAGCCAUGUUCAAAUAUAUAAAAGGAUGUCACAUAGAGGAGGGAGAAAGGUUGUUUUCUGCUGCUCCAGAGAAGCGGACACGGAGCAAUGGAUCCAAACUACAAGAAAGAAGAUUCCACCUAAACAUUAGGAAGAACUUCCUGACAGUAAGAGCUGUUUGACAGUGGAAUUUGCUGCCAAGGAGUGUGGUGGAGUCUCCUUCUUUGGUGGUCUUUAAGCAGAGGCUUGACAACCAUAUGUCAGGAGUGCUCUGAUGGUGUUUCCUGCUUGGCAGGGGGUUGGACUCGAUGGCCCUUGUGGUCUCUUCCAGCUCUAUGAUUCUAAGAAGAAGAAGAAGAAGAAGAAGAAGAAGAAGGAGAAGAAGAAGGAGAAGAAGAAGAAGGCAAAGUCCUUAUUAAUGCUUUUAGUUCAUUUUCUCCACAGAUAUAUAAUUUUGCCUUAUAUUCAUGUUUCUGUACAACAAUUUCCCCCGGGGUCAAAAGGAAAGCACUUCAGAAGGACAUUUUCCUGCCCUUGCCAUGCAGAAGAUCUUGUAAUAAUAAUAAUAAUAAUAAUAAUUUAUUUAUACCCCACCCAUCUAGCUGGGUUUCCCCAGCCACUCUGGGCAGCUCCCAACGGAAUAUUAAAAACACGAUAAAAAAUCGGACCCAGGACGUUCUGCAUGCAAAACAGGUAUUCUCCCCUGAGCUUUGGCCCUUCUAAGUCGGAAGUGGCUUUAUUGCCAACAAGGCCAGUGAAAACAUGAAGAGCAUUGUUUAUUGGGACAUGUGUCAGAUAUUUAAUACAAGGUCAUAUCUCCAAUAGGAUUCUUUAGUCUAAAUAACUUGAUAACUUUUAAUGCACGUUCUUGUCGAAAACUAACAAAAGUCAUUCACGUGCAGCUAUGCUCUUGAAUGAUUCAGGAUUCUACACUCAUAAGAAAGAACAGAGAAGGUUUUUGUCUCAGUUCCCCAUCAGAUUAUUUCACUGUGGAACGUCUCACUGCGAAGCUCGACGUCACAACAAAAAUAAACUUCUUCAUCUGCAGCCUCGAUGUUAGAGAUAGUUAAUGAGCCCGAGUCAGAACCGGUGAAGCGAGCUGGGACCCCUUCUCCCCGGGUGCUGGAUCCAUACCACAGAAAACGGGGAGGCUGUCCAGGUUUCUGUUGAUACCAGUGAAUAUCAUCCCAGCGAGUACCACCUUUUCUAGAGCAGGAGAGUGUAGCAGUUUGGCCCAGAGACACCGACUGGGAGGCAGGCUGAGUCAAACUGGGUUGUGAAGUGACACCU